CUACGGGUCGCUGCAGUGGGGAAUCUUGCGCAAUGGGCGAAAGCCUGACGCAGCAACGCCGCGUGGGUGAUGAAGGCCUUCGGGUCGUAAAGCCCUGUCGGAAGGAACGAAUGCUCUUGGGACGAAUAAUCUCAGGAAGUGACGGUACCUUCAAAGGAAGCACCGGCUAACUCCGUGCCAGCAGCCGCGGUAAUACGGAGGGUGCUAGCGUUGUUCGGAAUCAUUGGGCGUAAAGGGCGUGUAGGCGGUCUGUUAAGUCAUGUGUGAAAGCCCCCGGCUUAACCGGGGAAUGGCGCAUGAAACUGAUGGACUAGAGUACGGAAGAGGGAGGUGGAAUUCCAGGUGUAGCGGUGAAAUGCGUAGAUAUCUGGAGGAACACCUGUGGCGAAGGCGGCCUCCUGGUCCGAUACUGACGCUGAUACGCGAAAGCGUGGGGAGCAAACAGGAUUAGAUACCCGCGUAGUC
rnacentral:rRNA from 1 species